ensembl:lncRNA
GUUUAAGACUUUCUUUCAGAGUCUGACAGGUUUAUUCUCCUGUUAAAUGUACUCAAUGUUAAACUAUUGUCCAAACAAACAAUGAAGGAAUUUCCUUGCAGCCUCUGUGACCACAAACCCUUUUUUUAAGGAUGACAUUCUCCUUUUUUACAGGGAGUUGAGUUGAACCUGGAAAAAGAGACGUCACCCGAAAGAUCUUGGUGACGCCUUGUGUGACCUUUUAGAGGCCAAAGGCACGGUCACACUCCGAGGGAGGGGGGGGGGGUCAUCAGCAGUGCAGGAAGAGGUCAAUCCUGAGGUCACGGAGUGGCUAACAGAAGCUGAAUGUGUGGAGCGUCUUUGUGUGGAUAGAUGAGGGAAAUCCCGCUGAGGAGGAGCCCAAUUAUCAAGGAAAAGAGGACCGGGAUCUGUUUUCGGGCAGAGAGCAAAGGAGGCCCAAGAGUCCUGAAGGCAGAGCUGGACAGAGAGACCGGCAGAUGGAGGAGAGGGAAACAAAGGCGUGGAGCAUGCUCUCAAAACUGCAGGAAAACACGCCUCAGCAGAGCAGCAGUAGCAGAAGCCGCUCCAACUUUGAGGACUUCGACUUUUUGGCAAAGUACUGCAUUUUCAGCCAGGAGAAGCUGGCUGAGUACAAAAGAGCUUUUGAAGCAGAGGACAGCAGUGGCGACGGUUACAUUUCCUGUCUUCAGGUUCUUCUGGCUCUCAAGACUAUUAUUCCUGAAGAGCAUCUGUCUGAAGAAGAAGAGAUCUACGUGUACAGGAUCUUGGAGAUGGUGGACUUCAAAGUGACAGAUGGACUGGUGGAUCUGAGGCUGUUUGCCGUGAUUGCAAGCCUGGCGCAGAAAAUAGCCUCCAUGGAUGAGUUUAUGCGAUCUCUGAUUAGCAACAUGGACUUCCGCUCCCUUGAAGUGAGGCUCUUCAAAGCGAAGCAACUGUUUCUGUUCCUCCUGGAGGAGCAGCAGGUAGACGCGGGGCUUCAGCAGGGUUUCAUCAGCGGCGAGCAGCUGCUGCUGGAGCUGAAGGCUGGGGGGAUCCAUCUUGAGCAGGAGGCGGUCGUCCGGCUGGAGCUGCAGAACAUCCCCCCCCUCGACCUGCUGGACUUCCUGGCCUACCUGCCGCUCUUCAUGCUCAUUCAUAAAUCCGUCAUCUCCAACCCGCUCAACGAGUCCAGCCACUUUUAGGCUUUUAUCUUUCCUUUCAGUCUUUCGAUUUCUUUCAAUUCUCUUAUUUUUUAAAGUUAUUAAUGUUGACAAAUGCUUCACUAUAGACGCAUUGACGUCUCACUAACCUGAAAUCUAUGUGAGAAGAUCAAUAAACAUUAGAUUAUAAGGGGUAACAAACCAAACCAGCAGUUAUUGAACCAAAGUUUUCUGUUUUCAUCUUGUUUUUAUGAAAACGUUGCUCUCAUUAUUAACUCUUUCAAGGCACCAAUUUCCUUCAGAAUUGGAUUUCUGUGGAUUUGACAGUUAUUCCUGAUAAUGUUCUUGGAAGCAGGUUUCCAUGACGCCUUAACUAUUCACCACAAUAAAGAGGUCUUAUCAGCAGAAAUGCAGCUGCUCAAUGUUUGUGCUUUGUUUACAGCAGCUUAUGUUCAACAACGUCCAGCUCUGCUCAACCCAAAUCAAUAAAAGAAGAGCAGAUUGAAGAAAUAGGAGUACAUCUUGAACAAUAUUUUUAUAACAGACAGGAUUUGUUUAAAACUGUCAACUUUAGACUCUUUUUGGUUUUUUCUCCCACCUUUUCGUACAGCCGGACUCACCUGGUCUGGUCUCUGAAGCUAAACUGGCUCAGACCUGCUUAGUCUUUGAAUGGGAGAUCACCUGGGAUUACCAGGUCCUAUGAGCUGCUAUUACCACACGGAGGCGGCGUCCAGUGUGUUCAUGUGCCAGUCCCAUUGGAUGUAAAUCAGAACUGGACCGAGUGACCCCUCCCCAUGGCGUUCCAAACAGGAAGUACUUGCUGGUUCCAAGAAGCCAAUACCCAAGAACCAUUCUAUCUCUUUUCCCGUUUUCAAACAUGUUGAUUAUCCUAAUUUUUUCAUAUUUGUUUCUGUUGUUCAAACUAUUCAAGCUCCAAAGUGACCAAUCAGAUGUCCUAAGUAAAGUGGGUGGAGCCUGCUGGCCCCCACAUGCAGCCUGCUUUCAAGUGGCAGGGAUGUGGACUUUCAACUUCCCAAUUGGCGUGAGUGGUUGCAAAAGGAACAAUGUUUUGGACUGACUUGGACCAGUCCUGGUCCCGGACCAGGACCCGCUUGGGUCUACUCAGACUGAAAAUCUGUUCUGGAUUAUUGGCAGAAAUGAAAUCUGGUUCACUUUCAGUGAACCGAAGUGUGUCCAGUCUGAAUACACGCUAAAUCACAACUUUGAAUUGUGAUUCUGUAACAGUUUGUUUCCACAUUUUCCAUUGUUUUUUUUUUGUGAUGAAGACAAUUCCUGAUGUGUCACAAAAGCAACUUUUUCUUAGAGAAGAAACCUGUCAGCUUGGUCGGAGAAAAUCUUUUGAUUUUAAAAAAUGUGACAUAUCUCGUGCAUUGUUGUUUUUUGUUAUGUUUUGUUUCAUCAGUUUAAAGAAUGUGACGGAACUAAAAAGGGUAGCUUCUGUUAAUCCCACAUGUGUCACUUUAAAUAUUCCCAAAAUCACGGUAAUGAUCAUUUUUCUGGAGUUUUCUUUGACUUCUCCGUGGAGCAAACCUUCUGACACAGCCAGAGAUCCUCAGAUGGAGCUUCUGCUGCUCCAUUGUUUCCUCCCAGCUUUCCCAAUUAGACAUGGCUGAGCUCUCCUCCCUUUUGUGUGAGCCUGACAAACCGCUGUAGUGAGAAACAUAAUGGACUCCGACGGGCAGCAGAGCUGCGCUGUUAGAUCAGGGUCGUCCAGUAAGCAGCAUGUGUCAGCGUGAAGACUCCAAACAAG